GCCCGGGUGGCGAAACUGGCAGACGCAGCGGACUUAAAAUCCGCGGGGGGCAACCCCUUGUGGGUUCGAUUCCCACCCCGGGCA
rnacentral:tRNA from 1 species